GCACAGAUAUUCAAACCCAUUGCUUUCAGUCUCUUUGCUUAAAAAUAUUUAUACUAGGGGUGAAUGGCGGGGUUGGGGUUUUAAGUUUCAAACUUAAAACAUUGAAGUUUUAAUGCAAUCAACAAAACUUCAGAAUGCUUCUCUGCUUUAAGCAAACUUGAUUUUUUCAAAUUUUAUGAGCAUUUUGAUGAUGCUUGGAGAGGCAUGUCAAAGGGUCACAAAUGGUUGGGGUGACUGUGGAAGGAGGUGCUUGGCUGUGAGUGUUCUCUCUUACAGCGGGCUUGCAGAAACAUUCUAGAUAUGCCCCUCCAAAGAGAAUCGCAAGUGAUGCCGGACAUUCAGCCAGUGAGUGACCAUUCUCCUUCAUACACUGCAAAUGCUAUCAUUUGGGAGAACAAAGGCAGGGCUGCCUGAAGAAGUUUAAUUUGGCCUAAUGAAUCAACAGGAUAUGUUCGUGAGUUGACUUUUUAAAUAAAGAUGACUGGGCGGCCAAAGGGCAAACUAUACAGUCCUGUUCUGUCCGUUUAAGAAGGUACCUGAGACCUUAAUUAUUCCCUGUCACAGGUCAACUCCUCUGGGUCUCGAGGUUUUAGCUCUAAGCUAGGGGCGGGGGGCCCUGCAUAACCGAUGUCCAUGUCUCCUCCAGUCCCCUCCGCUCACUCUGUGACUGUGACCCUCACUUCUCUGCUUUAAGCAAAUUUGAGUUUAAAUGAUGGUGCAAAAUGCCUGAGGGCCGGGACAGUCUGCCCGGAUGUUUCCGUCAGAUUAGGGUCCUCUGGGGACCCACGGCUUUCACUCUAAGGCCAAGGCUUUGCACACAGACAUGCACAAGUCCUGCAGUUGAGCUUUGUCCAGCCAACAGGGGCCUGAGUUCCCUGACUCCUCGAAUCCCCUUUACAACUCCUCCACCUAGUGUGUGGGGCGGGAGAAACAACACGCGCCCACCUCCCCCCACACACACCCCCGAGCUUGGUGGUGUAACACAGGACAGGCUUGGGAGCCGGAUCCAAGGUCUCAUAAAGCGCCCUGUUCCUCUUUUCUUGGGCAGAUUCUUUACCGAUGAAGCCACCUGGGAAGCUUAUCUUUCUCUCGAAACUGAAAGUGUUACUUGCCAGUUGUGCCACACUCUUCGCUACCCUGUGGACUGUAGCCCGCCAGGCUUUUCUGUUCAUGGAAUACCUCCAGGCGAGCAGGAGUCCCGGUGGCUUACGCCCUAAGACACCACACCCCUCAGAGAACUCAGCAGUCUCUUCAACAGAUACAACAACAAACCUUCAUUUUGCACUGUGGAGACAUGGACUGGAAGCAGCAAAAAUCCAGGGUCCCGUGACAGAAGCAGUGUGUGCAAUAGCAGCAAAAGGAGGACCAUUAAAACCCAAGGACAAUUCGAAGCUAAAGACGCAAGGUAUCUGAACACGCUGCAUCCGGUCAGCAGAGACCUCGGUUUACAGCAGGUCGGCGGCAGCACUUGCGAGCAGCAGCGGCCUCUCCCUUGAUCCGCAUGCUGAUCAGAUUCUGGCCUGCUACCAUGGACUCCUUGAAGGCAGGACCAGGCCUGCCUUGUCUGCAAGAGCCUUAGGAGUUGCUCAUAACAGUUGCCAAGAAAUUGGGAUCCUUAGGGGCUGAACCCUAGAGGACCCUGAAGAACAUACAUUGCCACUCUCUCCCCACAGAGUUCACCAGCCCACGCACAUUCUCCAGCUUCUUGCAGAGUGCCCCAAGGGAGGAAGCAAAUAAAGUCUAGAACAACACAGGACUCCUGCAGCAGGGGGGUGACAGAACCACUGGCUGGCUAAACGGUUAUUCCCCCGCUAACGUGUCCUUCCCAGACAGGUGGUUUUCCUCCUAGAGAGCGUGGUAGACGUGCUGGAGGAAGGUUGGGUGAUGAUCUUUGAGCUUCAAUUUUAAAUGAGAGGAAAGUUGCAGCAUUAAAGGUUGGGAAACAUCCCUACAGAAAAUUUGGGGCAAAAUUUUGAAGAUGGAGAAAGGAAGACCUGGGUCACUGGCAAGAUCUGUCAGCUGGCUGCCAUCUGACCAUCCGCACCUGGUAAAGCUCUUUAUCUCUGCCAUCUGGUCUGUAGGUUCUUCAGUUUAAUGUAGAAAACAUGUCAUUUAGAGGCCAGAGGCAAGUACAAAAGCCUUCUCCAAACAAAACAACCAGAGACUGCCAAGUUCAGGUUUAACUGUGUAUUUAAAUAUAU
ensembl:lncRNA